CGAGCCAGCGCUGCGCGCUCAUUGGGCCGCUAAGUUCCUGCCCCCAAGGCAGGGUCACGUGUUCCGCUCAGCUGGUGCCGGUUCCAGGGAUCUCUUCGGACCAGGAGUUACUCUGUCGCUCCUGCCUAGCUCAGAGGGAAGAUGCACGGACACCAGCGAAGACGAGGGCCAGGAACACUGGACACCAUGGAUCAGGAUUCGGGAACACAGGAACGCGAUGGGAUCUCCACACGGAUGCAACCUUGAGAUCUCAGCCGUCCGUGUUCUCACUGGCUGAAAGACUCCAAAGAAUCAGGAAGAGGCCAUGGAGAAGCAAGGAAGACAUGUUGCACGAAGUAAUGCAGCAUUCAAGUAAUGAAAAUCAAAAAGUGCAGGAGUGGCGGGAGAGUGAAAGGAGGAUCUGCCAGCAGAAUGAGGCGCGCCGGCACAAAAGCGCGGAGCUCCGACAGAAAAGCACAGAUCGUCUGAUAAGCAUCAUGGAGCGCCAAGCGGACUCUAUCCAGGCGCUCGUAGCCAUGCAGGCAGAGUACUACCAUGCCCACCCCACCCUCCCACAGCCCUUGUCCCAAAACUCUUUCCCUCCAACCCACUUUCCCCAACAUCCGGGUUCUUACUGCCCCCAUCUGCCUCCUACACCUGUAGCUUUACCACCCAGCCCUGAAAACUACGACCCUUACCCUCUGCACUCAUCCCCCAUCACCAUGCAGUAUAGCUAUCCUGAAGUGCAGCCCUCAUUGCACAGCACUCCAGACAGGAAGGCUGAGUAUGAUAA